rnacentral:rRNA from 1 species
GACGAACGCUGGCGGCGUGCUUAACACAUGCAAGUCGAACGGAAAGGCCCUGCUUUUGUGGGGUGCUCGAGUGGCGAACGGGUGAGUAACACGUGAGUAACCUGCCCCUGACUUUGGGAUAACUUCAGGAAACUGGGGCUAAUACCGGAUAGGAGCUCCUGCUGCAUGGUGGGGGUUGGAAAGUUUCGGCGGUUGGGGAUGGACUCGCGGCUUAUCAGCUUGUUGGUGGGGUAGUGGCUUACCAAGGCUUUGACGGGUAGCCGGCCUGAGAGGGUGACCGGCCACAUUGGGACUGAGAUACGGCCCAGACUCCUACGGGAGGCAGCAGUGGGGAAUAUUGCACAAUGGGCGGAAGCCGGAUGCAGCAACGCCGCGUGCGGGAUGACGGCCUUCGGGUUGUAAACCGCUUUCGCCUGUGACGAAGCGUGAGUGACGGUAAUGGGUAAAGAAGCACCGGCUAACUACGUG